AACAACAAACCAACCUCAACACUCUUAGUCUUCCUUUAUUUCUCUCAACUUCUCAACCCAUCCUCAAUGAGCACUCUAGAAAUAGAGCAACCCUAUCCCAAGCCAACUCACUCCCUCGAGCCGGACACCGAAAAGGACGAUGUUUCUCCGAUAGAACAAGUCCGUCUUACGGUGACCAACACCGAUGACCCGACCUUGCCCGUAUGGACAUUCCGGAUGUGGUUCUUGGGCCUUGUCUCAUGCUCUCAUUUCUCAACCAAUUCUUCUCCUACAGAACCGAGCCUCUCAUCAUCACCCAAAUCACUGUCCAAGUAUCAACACUCCCUAUUGGUUAACUUAUUUCAUGGCCGAAGUCCUCCCAACGAAAACGUUCCACGUACCCGGAUUCGGGUCCCGGACGUUUUCGUUGAAUCCGGGUCCUUUUAACGUAAAAGAGCACGUGCUGAUUACCAUAUUUGCUAAUGCCGGAAGUGCUUUUGGAGCUGGCUCAGCUUAUGCUGUUGGGAUUGUUAACAUAAUCAAAGCGUUUUAUCACUGGAAAAUCUCUCUUCUGGCUGGUUGGCUGCUUAUCAUCACAACCCAGGUAUUGGGAUACGGCUGGGCUGGGCUGGGCUUUUAAGGAAGUAUGUUGUGGAGCCUGCUUAUAUGUGGUGGCCCAAUACACUUGUACAGGUUUCACUUUUCCGGGCAUUGCAUGAGAAAGAUGAGAGCAACGUAUGUCGCGGGCAAAGUUCUUCCUAAUUACUCUAGUUUGCAGUUUUACAUGGUAUGCUUUCCCAGGGUAUCUCUUCACAACACUCACUAACAUCUCAUGGGUUUGCUGGCUAUUCUCAAAGUCAGUUACAGCUCAGCAGAUUGGCUCGGGCAUGAGAGGCCUCGGAGUAGGAUCCCUGACACUUGACUGGUCGGCAGUGGCAUCCUUCUUGUUCAGCCCCCUCAUCUGCCCUUUCCUUGUCAUCGUUAAUGUUUUUGCGAGGUAUGCAUUGAUACUCUAUUUAGUUAUCCCUAUAGCGUACUGGGGACUGGACUCAUACAGUGCACAAAAGUUCCCCAUUUUUUCCUCGCACUUGUUUACGGCAGAAGGUCAAGAUUACAACAUAACAGCUAUAGUCGAUGACAAAUUUCAGUUAGAUAUUCCAAAGUAUGAGGAGCAAGGGCGGAUUCACUUAAGCAUGUUUUUCGCUCUCACUUAUGGCUUUGGUUUUGUAACCAUUGCAUCCACCCUCACACAUGUAGCCUUAUUCUAUGGAAGGUAACAUAGCUCUCACAACUUUCACAUGUCAAACCUUCUAUAUAUAAGCUCACAAAUGUAAAAUUUUCACAUAAACAUUGCAAUAAAAAAGAGAGAAUAUUAGCUGUAGACAUCGAAAUUUCGGUAAAAUAAAUGUUGACCGAUAAUUAAAAUUUCAACGCUUACGUGUCACAUAAAUUUUACACGUAGCGUGUGACUAAACAAAAAAA